GUUAGACAGUACAGAGACAGGUCAUUAAGGAGCAGGUAGGGGUUAGACAGUACAGAGUCAGGUCAUUAAGGAGCAGGUAGGGGUUAGACAGUACAGAGUCAGGUCAUUAAGGAGCAGGUAGGGGUUAGACAGUACAGAGACAGGUCAUUAAGGAGCAGGUAGGGGUUAGACAGUACAGAGACAGGUCAUUAAGGAGCAGGUAGGGGUUAGACAGUACAGAUACAGGUCAUUAAGGAGCAGGUAGGGGUUAGACAGUACAGAGACAGGUCAUUAAGGAGCAGGUAGGGGUUAGACAGUACAGAGACAGGUCAUUAAGGAGCAGGUAGGGGUUAGACAGUACAGAGACAGGUCAUUAAGCAGCAGGUAGGGGUUAGACAGUAGAGAGACAGGUCAUUAGGGAGCAGGUAGGGGUUAGACAGUACAGUGACAGGUCAUUAAGGAGCAGGUAGGGGUUAGACAGUAUAGAGACAGGUCAUUAAGGAGCAGGUAGGGGUUAGACAGUACAGAGACGGGUCAUUAAGGAGCAGGUAGGGGUUGGACAGUACAGAGACAGGUCAUUAAGGAGAGGGUAGGGGUUAGACAGUACAGAAACAGGUCAUUAAGGAGCAGGUAGGGGUUAGACAGUACAGAGACAGGUCAUUACGGAGCAGGUAGGGGUUAGACAGUACAGAGACAGGUCAUUAAGGAGAGGGUAGGGGUUAGACAGUACAGAAACAGGUCAUUAAGGAGCAGGUAGGGGUUAGACAGUACAGAGACAGGUCAUUAAGGACCAGGUAGGGGUUAGACAGUACAGAGACAGGUCAUUACGGAGCAGGUAGGGGUGGGACAGAUUUGAGCUAAUUUGACAUUAAAGACAUUGAGAGCCCAGUGCCUCCAAACCAAGGCUGACAUCUUGUUAUCCAGGUGAUUUAGUUAAGCUUUGUUUCCCUAGUAGAGCCACGGCGCUCCAGACAGCCCUCCCCAUGCAUCACUACAGGGCGGCUAAACGUACACUUUGUACUUUGUGGCGUUCUGCAGACGAAGGCUAGAAGCCUGACACCUUUACAUGCCUUCUUGUGUACGUGCGAUCAUGUCAAGGGCUUACGUGAUUUUCAAAAGGUCACAAAAAGGAAUCAAACCUUUAUCACCUGUUGUUUGGUCCACCCUGCCUUCCACCGGUAUGUACACCCCUUCAUUACCUCUCUCUCUCUCUCUCUCUCUCUCUCUCUCUCUCUCUCUCUCUCUCUCUCCCUCUCUCCCUCUCUCUCUCUCUCC
ensembl:lncRNA